CACCGCCGCGGUAAUACGUAGGUGGCAAGCGUUGUCCGGAUUUAUUGGGCGUAAAGCGAGCGCAGGCGGUUAGAUAAGUCUGAAGUUAAAGGCUGUGGCUUAACCAUAGUACGCUUUGGAAACUGUUUAACUUGAGUGCAAGAGGGGAGAGUGGAAUUCCAUGUGUAGCGGUGAAAUGCGUAGAUAUAUGGAGGAACACCGGUGGCGGAAGCGGCUCUCUGGCUUGUAACUGACGCUGAGGCUCGAAAGCGUGGGGAGCAAACAGGAUUAGAUACCCCUGUAGUCCCUGUCUCUUAUACAC
rnacentral:rRNA from 1 species